AUUGAACGCUGGCGGCAGGCCUAACACAUGCAAGUCGAGCGGAUGAAGAGAGCUUGCUCCUGGAUUCAGCGGCGGACGGGUGAGUAAUGCCUAGGAAUCUGCCUGGUAGCGGGGGAUAACGUCCGGAAACGGGCGCUAACACCGCAUACGUCCUGAGGGAGAAAGUGGGGGAUCUUCGGACCUCACGCUAUCACAUGAGCCUAGGUCGGAUUAGCUAGUUGGUGGGGUAAAGGCCUACCAAGGCGACGAUCCGUAACUGGUCUGAGAGGAUGAUCAGUCACACUGGAACUGAGACACGGUCCAGACUCCUACGGGAGGCAGCAGUGGGGAAUAUUGGACAAUGGGCGAAAGCCUGAUCCAGCCAUGCCGCGUGUGUGAAGAAGGUCUUCGGAUUGUAAAGCACUUUAAGUUGGAAGGAAGGGCAGUAAGUUAAUACCUUGCUGUUUUGACGUUACCAACAGAAUAAGCACCGGCUAACUUCGUG
rnacentral:rRNA from 1 species